rnacentral:rRNA from 1 species
AUUGAACGCUGGCGGCAGGCCUAACACAUGCAAGUCGAGCGAGUGGCGGACGGGUGAGUAAUGUCUGGGGAUCUGCCCGAUAGAGGGGGAUAACUACUGGAAACGGUGGCUAAUACCGCAUACUAUCGGAUGUGCCCAGAUGGGAUUAGCUAGUAGGUGGGGUAACGGCUCACCUAGGCGACGCUCUCUAGCUGGUCUGAGAGGAUGAUCAGCCACACUGGGACUGAGACACGGCCCAGACUCCUACGGGAGGCAGCAGGGGGGAAGAUUGCACAAUGGGCGCAAGCCUGAUGCAGCCAUGCCGCGUGUAUGAAGAAGGCCUUAGGGUUGUAAAGUACUUUCAGCGGGGAGGCGUUACCCGCAGAAGAAGCACCGGCUAACUCCGUGCCAGCAGCCGCGGUAAUAC